rnacentral:rRNA from 1 species
GAUGAACGCUGGCGGCGUGCCUAAUACAUGCAAGUCGAGCGAACAGACGAGGAGCUUGCUCCUCUGACGUUAGCGGCGGACGGGUGAGUAACACGUGGAUCACCUACCUAUAAGACUGGGAUCACUUCGGGAAACCGGAGCUAAUACCGGAUAAUAUAUUGAACCGCAUGGUUCAAUAGUGAAAGACGGUUUUGCUGUCACUUAUAGCUGGAUCCGCGCCGUAUGAGCUAGUUGGUAAGGUAACGGCUUACCAAGGCAACCAUGCGUAGCCGACCUAAGAGGGGGAUCGGCCACACUGGAACGGAGACACGGACAAGACGACUAAGGGAGGCAGCAGUAGGGAAUGGUACGCAAUGGGCGAGAGCCUGACGGAGCAGCGCGGAGUGAGUGAUGAAGGUGUUGGGAGCGUAAAACUCUGUUAUUAGGGAAGAACAAAUGUGGAAGGAACUAUGCACGUCGUGACGGUACCGAAUAAGAAAGCAACGGCUAACUACGUG